rnacentral:miRNA from 1 species
UUUACUCACUCAACUUUAAAAGCUUUUAAGUUCUCACAAGGUAAUUUAAGAAAAAAGAGCAUCGUUUUCGUGUAUAGUAUUCAAACUUUUGAAGUCUUUUAAAGUUGAGUGGGUGAA